UGGCAAAUGGUCGCGGCUCCGUUAUACGGAGGUGAGGAAAGUCCGGGCUUCACAGGGCAGGAUGCCGGAUAACGUCCGGUGGAGGUGACUCCAAGGCCAGUGCAACAGAAAUAAACCGCCCGGUUUACCGGGUAAGGGUGGAAAGGCAGUGUAAGAGACUACCGCCCUCGAGGUAACAAGAGGGGCACAUGUAAACCCCAUUCGAAGCAAGACCAAACAGAAGACAAUAGGUUUGCCCGACCUGUUUUCAGGUGGGUCGCUUGAAACUGUUGGUAACAGCAGUUCUAGAUAGAUGACCAUUCGUGCAGUUCAUGCACCGACAUAACCCGGCUUAUCGCUGCGCUU
rnacentral:RNase_P_RNA from 1 species